CCCUGCUGUACCUGGAGAGCCCACAGGAGUCCGUGCGAGAGGCGGCCCUCAAGUUCAUUGGGAUCGCCGGGAGGUACCUGAGGGGACAGUACCAAGAGCUGCAGCUCAUCAUCGAUGCCCUUCAAGCCACGACAGAUGACAGCAGCCCCACUGUCUCCAAGCUGGCGCUUGAAACCAUCUCCUUUGUUGGAGCUGUACAGAGAGCUCCCUACCCCAGGUUCCAGCAGCUCCAAGACCAGCUCAGCAGGGCAUGGAGUACCCGGCCUUCUCUGUGGGGCUGAGUCUGCCUGUGCCGCUGUAGCUGUGUGCAGAGUUGAUGCAGGCAGCUCUGUCUGUUGGGGCCACCUGAGCCUGUGGGGAAGACGCCUCUUCUCUGCAAGCCCUUCCUUCUACCCCAGUGUAGAAAUAUUAAACAAAUCUUGUCAUCUACAGAGGCCCAGGAGCUUUUUUUGGGUGCCGGCCAGGGGCAGGGGCACAGGCAGGGCCGUGGGCCAGCCCAGGCCCCCGUGGCUGCCCAGCCCAUGGGGCUGUGGCCCAGAGCCUGCUGAGCCAGAGCUCUGGGCCCGUGGAGGUGCUGCCAGCACGGGGAGGGCGCGGGGCUCCUCAGGCAGGGCCGCACAUUCGCUGCCGCCCAAGCCACAGACAAGAACAGCAGGCUGUGCACAGGAGCAGCAGCAGCCACAACGCCUGGGCCUCUUCAGCCAGGCACCCACAGGCGGCAGGCACAUGGAAGGAAGAAAAGCAGUUUCAAAGAUGGCCAGAGCAGUUGAAAGAGACGCUCAGAGAGACAGUGAGGGCCGAACACCUGCCAGGAACUGAAACAUUGUGAUGCUGGACAUAGAAAGACAGUUAGACCGGGAAGGCAGUUUUAAUAUUGUUAGUGCCUGUGUUAAAAUGGUUGUAUCCUGGGUUUUUCAAGUUUUAUUGUAUUUUUCCCCUCAUGUUUAAUCCCCAUUUUCCUAUUGGUCCAAGUUUGCUGCAUUGCAGAUGUUUCCCUCAUUGGGCCUUGCUCGUCCCAUGUUCUCUCCUUCCUUCCCCAGUUGGUUAUCACCCCUGUCAGUCCCAUGCUCCUCCCUGUUUUCCAGAACCUUCCCUACCUACCCCUUAAAUAGAGCUACCCCCCCCAAUAAAUUGUGAUAGCUCUGAGCUAAUCACCACUCUGCUGGAACCUCUUGAGUUUGUCACGUCGUUCUUUCCACAAUUGACUGCAGCACCCACACCGGCCAGCAUGCCAAAAGCGGGCAUGCUGUGGGCACAACUGCACCGGCUUUGGUCAAAGGCUUCAGGAAAAGGGGCCACGAGGCCUCUCUAUUGACUGCCCAGCCUCACAGCAACACUUGGCAGCUUCAGGGGCAGCCUGUCGUCCUGACUGACUUCCGUGGCCGUGCCUGAGGGCAGACUCACCUUCCACACUCAGGCAUCCCAAGGCAGUGGCGCUGGCGCCAUCCUUAGAGACUGCUAUGGCACAGGAGCCUUGGGGUGCAGCUGCUCAACCUCUCCUCCAGGCAGGCACAUUAAAAACACGGGCAUGGGCUUCUGAACUCAAAAUGCAGGCCUUUCUGGAGUGGAAGGAAGAAGC